GUAUCGUAUGGUAAGGUGGGUGAAUGCUCUUUCUCCUCUUCUCCAGCCCCUUCUCCUCUGUGUGUCUCUUUCUCCCUUAGCCCCUUUGUAUUUCUCUUAAUCCCCCACAGCACCUUUGUUGGUCAAUUAAUCCCUGCAGCCCCUUUGUGUGUCUCUUUCUCCCCUUCUCCAGCCCCUUUGUGUGUAUAUUUCUCCCCUUUCCCUGUGUGUGUCUCUUUCUCCCUCUAUCCCCUUUUUAUCUCUUCCCAAGCCCCCUUCUCUGAAACUGCUAUGUUUUCAGCUGCAGGGUUAAAACUAGAGGGACCUGGCACCCAGACCACUUCAUUGAGCUUCGCUGAAAUCCCCAUAGGAAAGCAUUGAAUAAUGCU